rnacentral:snRNA from 1 species
AUCGCUUCUUGGCUUUUUGGCUAAGAUCAAGUGUAACAU